ACUACACCUUCUUAAGAGAAACAGAACUGUACUCACUGCUGUAGACCUGAAGAAAGAUUUGAAUGCGUGAAAUGAACUACAGUUCCUCAUAGGGUUCUGUAACAUCUCAGGAAGAACUACCUGAAGAAGGAACCACAAUCUCAGGAGAUAAUAUCUUUAAAAGGUUUUGAGAGGAUAAAUGCAGAAGUGUUUGAGCUGACAGGAUGCUCUGAUGACAAGACACAAGUUAACUACGAAGGGAGAAUGAAGAUGCUCUUCCUUCUUUUCUUAUACACAGAGCCUGCCUUUGUUUCCUCCUGAAUUAGUCUGGUCUUAACCAGUAUUUACUUUCAUACAUUGAUCUAUGGCUUUUCUCUUCCUCUGCACAACUUUAUUUUAGGACCCUAUAACACUAGAAGGUCAGCUAAAAUAUUCUUGCCUUUAUUUUUAUCGAAUAUUUCACAUAAAUGCUAACAUAUACAAUAUGUCAGGCUCUUAAUCCAGUCAAAUGAUUACAAAUGGUGUUAAGAAGAGAAAACUGCUUUAAUGAGUGAAUUUUGAGAGCAGAAGAUCUUGAAACUCAGUGUUUAUGUAUUACAACUUUUGAUAUAAUAUUUUGCAUAUGUUUAGGGUGAUAAAACAGUAGGACCAGUAGGAUUGUCUUUUCAUUAUUGCAUUUUUUUUUUCUUAGAGAUGUGGGAAAAUGUUCUUGAUUAAAUGAGUCUGCUUGUAGAUU